rnacentral:rRNA from 1 species
AACCCAAACCCUAGGCAGGGGAUCACUCGGCUCGU